CACUGCUCUCCUCAAAGCUGUCAGACAGGGACCUUUAAGUCUGCAGAGGUUACUGCUGUCUUUUUAUCUGUGCCCUGCCCCCAGAAGUGGAGCCUACAGAGGCAGGCAGGCCUCCUUGAGCUGUGAUGGGCUCCACCCAGUUGGAGCUUCCCAGCUGCUUUGUUUACCUAAGUGAGCCUGGGCAAUGGCGGGUGCCCCUCCCCCAGCCUCGCUGCCGCUUUGCAGUUUGAUCUCAGACUGCUGCGCUAGCAAUCAGUGAGACUCCGUGGGCGUAGAACCCUCCAAGCCAGGUGUGGGAUACAAUCUCCUGGUGCACCGUUUUUUAAGCCCGUCGGAAAAGCGCAGUUUUAGGGUGGGAGUGACCUGAUUUUCCAGGUGUCAUCUGUCACCCCUUUUUUUGACUAGGAAACGGAACUUCCUGACCCCUUGCGCUUCCCGAGUGAGGCAAUGCCUCGCCCUGCUUUGGCUUGCACACGGUGCACUGCAUCCACUUUCCUGCGCCCACUGUCUGGCACUCCCUAGUGAGAUGAACCCAGUACCUCAGAUGGAAAUGCAGAAAUCACCCAUGUUCUGUGCCGCUCACGCUGGGAGCUGUAGACCAGAGCUGUUCCUCUUGGGCCAUCUUGGCUCCACCUCCCCUCAAUAAUUAUUGAAACAAAUGAAAUAAACAGCCUGAAUAGAAUGGAAGCUAGAAACAAAACGAAGGAGGAAAAGAAGAAAAGAACGAAAGACAGAAAGAAAGACAGACUGGGAGAAAAUAUGGAGUGAAAAGAGAAAUAGAAAAAUAUUAUCUCUUCCAAACACAUUUAAUACUAAGGGCAAGAAGAAUGAAAUAUGAGGGAUUGUAGGAAGAAUUUAUCAGAAAAUUAAUGAGGGUAAUGAGUAAAAAGUAGGUAACACAAUAUAAAGAUCUUGAGUCAAUCAAUUGCUGUUUUUAAAAACUAUCUAGUUUAAAAUGGAGACUGUGGGACUUGCUUUGUAAUGCGAAUUAUUAAAUGAGAAGACGUAGUGUGAAGUAGUGAAUCAGACACAUACUUCUAGGUUUUUUAAGGCACAGAAAGAAGGCACACACACACAAACACACACAUAAUCUGAAAUGUAACUGCUGCUGCUAUUUUUCUGAAGUCUUUGAAGGAUAAAUGUAGAGGUGAAGUGUGCACUGUCUAGGAACUGUGAGUUAAAGAGGACAGUUCUGAACCUUAGAGACUGUCAGUUCAUAUGAAGUGUUCCUAAUGUGCUCUUUUAAAGAUGAAGCAGGCAGCUACAAGAUAAGAUGGAAGUUGUCAACUGCAUGACAAAGGUUGCAAAGUAAGUGGAUAAAAUUGGGGAUUAGGGCAGGUGUGAGAGCAGGUGUCUGUGGACUUGAACAAGUGGGUGAAGGAACUGAGUUCUGAGUCUGGAGGGUAGAGGCAGUGAGUAGUAGCCAAAUAUCCUGCGAAAGAGAGUUGGAGUUUUUGGAAAAGUUGGAGAUUGGAGUGGAGAUAACUACCUAACCUACACACACGCACACACACACACACACACAUAUACACACACACAUUCAACUUAGCCGUGGUUCCUUCUCUAAGAAGAUUCCUUUUAAGUCACUGUUUAAAAGGAAACUUCAGCUUCGUUAAGAAAGACAUACUCAUGUCCCACAUACAUACCAAUCACAUUAUCAUAGGCAGAUAUGAAGCUGAUGAUUUGAAAACAAACUUAUCUCACCUGUACAAUUUUACAUCCCUAUGGGGUAGCUAUGAUUUUUCUGUCUGAAAAACUCCUUCAAUUAACAUGGUAGCAUCUUAACAUCUUAAUCCCAUGUAUAUAUUAUAUAUUUUGAUAAAAUAAGGUAAUACAUCUCUUUUCUUCUCUAAAUGAUUCUCCGUAACAGUAACAUUAUGUACGACACUGGGCCUCAUCCAGGGUCAUUAAUAUGUUCUUGUUAAUACAUACAGUAUUUCCCCUUUAUCCACAGUUUUGCUUUCCAAGGUUUCAGUUACCUGUAGUCAGCCCCAGUCCAAAAGUAUUAUAUGGGAAAUUCCAGAAAUAAACAAUUUAUAGGUUUUUAAUUGUGCAGCAUUCUGACUAGCAUGAUUGCAUUUCGCACCAUCCAUCUCCAUCCUGCCGUAGAUAUGAAUCAUGCCUUUGUCUAGCAUAGCCAUGCUGUACACACCACCUGCUGCUAGUCACUUCACAGCCAUCUGGAGAAUUUGAUUGUCACUGUAUUGCAGUGCUUGUAUUCAAGUAAACCUUACUUUGCUAGUAAUGGCCCCAAAUCAUAAGAUUAGCGAUGCUGGAAAUUUGGAUAUGUGAAAAAGAGCCAUAAAGUGCUUCCUUUAAGUGAAAAGGUAGAAGUUAUUGAUUUGAUAAGAAAAGCAAAUAAAUUUUAUGUUGAGGUUUCUAAGAUCUACAGUGCCAUAAUAUAUUUUGGGAGGGAGAGAGAGAUAUCAUACAUCAUUCACAUAACAUUGGAGUAUAUUGUUAUUAUUGUUCUAUUUUAUUAUUGUUCUUGUUAGUCUCUUCUUGUGCCUAAUUCAUAAAUUAAACUUUAUCAUAGGUAUGUUUAGGAAAUAUUAUAAUAUACAUAGGGUUCAGUACUAUCUGUGGUUUCAGGAAUCCACUGGAGGUUUUGGAAUGGAUCCCCCGCACAUAAGGGGGAGUACCGUAAUCCAAAUCUCACGAGCUCUAGUUAAAUCCUUCUUUGUCUUGUGCUUCCUUUUUUGAAUAGGAAUAACAACUCAGUUUCCCUGGGAUUUGCUAGACCAGGGCAGGUGCAAACACAGCAGAAACUUUCUUCAUACAGGGUACUACUAAUUCUGCAAGUUCUCCACUUUUCUGACUCGGUCUAUGCCGAGGCUUUAUAUCCUUUUGAGGCAGUAAAACAAUUGCAGUUGUGUGAAACCCUGAUCUUAGUUAUUGGCCAAAUCUACAAAUGACCAUGUUUCCCCAUAAUGGAGUAUGCAAUUGCUCUACCAUUUUCCAUCUUUCUAAAAUACUUAGGGAUCCACUUGUGUUUUGAACAUAUGCAAUUUGCUUUUUUUUUCCCCCUGGGAAGAAAUGUCCCAGAGGCUCUACUUAGAUCCAGAGCUAAGAGCAAUAAGUAAAGUAUUCCCCAUUCCCAUCAGACACAUUGUCUCUCUGUUUCCUUCCCACUAAAACCCCUUAUAUGCCUCCUAAUCUGUUACAUCAAUAACACUACACAGAAAGGAGGAGAGGCCCAGAGAUGUUUUUCUCUACUCAGGAGGGAGCUGGACAAUUCAGGGGAAUUAGAAUAAAAAUAAAUAAAUGUUGGUGCAACUCAUAUGUAGUGACUGUCAGAGCAUUGGCUUCCAUGUCAAGAGUGGGCUCCUGUCCUGUAGCUGAGAUGGAAGACAGAGACAUUGGAAGAGACCUGUACAAUUCUGAUUCUCCUUCAGUAACAGAAAAGCAGAUUUUUUUUUUCAUAUUCACAGGAACCCAAAGGCUGAGAGCAAUCUCAUGAAUACGGAAUUGCUACAGAUACAUGGCUCCUCCUUCCCAGACAUCCCCCUGCGUUUAUCUCCAUGUGUUUGGCUUAAUGUGGAGUUCGAGCAAUUUUUUCCCUUUUGAAAUGUCUCACAUUCUACAUAUGAAUAAUUGAUUCCUCUGUAUCUUUCUAACACAAAUGGAAUAGUCAGUAUGCCUUUGGUAAUUUAUAAUAGGUACGUCAGGGUUUCAGGAAGUUUGAAAGGUCACAGAUUAUUAGGAUACUAUAGGGAAAUUACUUGACAUCUUAAGAGUAGAUAAAAUAUAAAUUUAUAAAAGUAGCUUUAUCAGGCUACUUUUACUGUGACUGUAAAUUCACCUCAGGAAUGUUUAUAUUUCAUAAGCUCUACCAUUUUGUUAAAGGACAUCUCUGUCCUGAGACUCUUGGAAACAUUACAAAAGUUGAUCAAUUGGGUUGUGACAGUCUGUUCAAACUUCUUUAAACUGCAUGUUAAUAGUUCAUUGAUUAUCCAUUUAUUCUCUCUCCUGAACAACAUUCAAAGGCCCCCAGAAUAACUUUGGGUUGUCUGGGCCUGGUAUCUAAAUAUGGAUCAACCAACUGGCAAAUUCACAUAUCCAAGGGAUCCUAAUGAGCCUAGAAAAAAAUCCUAAAUCCUCAUUUAAAAAUAGAUUAAUUUAACAAAUGAAAAUAAACAAAAACAAAUAUACCCCACCCCCAAUAUGUGGGUAUAUGCACACACAUACACACACACACACAUGCCUACACACACUUUGGUAUGCUGUAAUAGAUAAGUGAGUUCUUUCUUCUGCACCCUCACAGAAAAUAAUUAGGGAAAUGUGGAUAGGCUUUACCAUUUGUCUUUCACUAUGCAUCUAUUUCUCUAGGCCAUUGUCUCUUAAAUAAGUGAAGGAACAUGCAUACAUAUGAACAUGCAUAAAUGGUUUUACACCUUCAAGUCUGUUUUUGAGUAUUCUAAAAUGUUUCUUUAGUUACUUACAGUGUUUUUCUAUAUCAGCCAAGAUAAUUACAUUUAUCUAAUUGAAUUUACAAAUUAUUUUGAUUGUAUUAUUGAUGUUGAACCAUCCUUGAUCUCAUAGAUCAUGUUGUGCUUUUAUGCACAUUAUUUUAAUACAGAGUUCACAUUGAUUUACUAUUUUAUUUUCAUGCAGCUAGAUUAUAAAUUGGUUUGUGUGUGUCAUUUUAUUUUUUAUGCCAUUCUUGGUUUUUCAUAGCAGCAAACAAAAAACAAGAUGUGAUUUUCAAGAGUUCAUAUUAUAGGACAUUUUUCAUCAUGGCAAUUUGCUAAACUUAGACUAAAGACCUUAACAAACACCUCACCAAAGAAGAUAUACAGAUGCAAAUAAGCAUAUGAAAAGAUACUCUACAUUAUAUGUCAUCAGAGAAACAUAAAUUAAAACAACAAUGAGAUACCACUGCACACCUAUUAGAAUGGACAAAAUUCAGAACUCUGACAGCACCUAAUGCUGGUGAGGAUGUGGAGCAACAGGAAUACUCACUCAUUGCUGGUGGGAAUGCAAAAUGGUAUAGCCACUUUGAAAGACACUUUGGCCAUUUCUUACAAAACUGAUCAUACUCUUACCAUAUGUUCCUGCAAUCAUGCUCUUUGAUAUUUACCCAAAUGAACUGAAAGCUUAUAUCUACAUAAAAAUCUGCAAAGAGAUGUUUAUAGCAGCUUUAUUCAUAAUUGUCAAAACUUGAAGCAACCGAGAUGUCCUUCAAUAGGUGAAUGGAAAAGAAAACUGUGGUAUAUUCAGGCAAUUGAAUAUUAUUCAUUGCUAAAAAGAAUUGGGCUAUCAAGCUAUGAAAAGACAUGGAAGAACUUAAAUUCAUAUUAUUAAGUUAAAGAAGCCUAUCUGGAAAGGCUACAUAUUGUAUAAUUUCAACUAUAUGACAUCUGGAAGAAGCAAAAGUACAGAGAUAGUAAAAAGAUCAGUGGUUGUCAGGGCUGAAGAGAGGAGGAAUGAAUAGGCAGAGCACAGAGAAUUUUAGGGCAGUAAUAGUAUCUUUAUGAUACUGUAAUGGUGUAUACAUGGCAUUAUACAUUUUUCUAAACCCAUGGAAUGUACAUCAAGAGAGAACCCGAACAUAAACUAAAUAAAGACUUCAGGUGAUAAUGUACCAAUAUAGGUUCAUCAGCUGUAACAAAUGUACCACUCUAGUGGGAAAUAUUGAUAAUGGGGGAGGCUGUGCAUGUGUGGGGACAGAGGCAUAUGGAAAAUCUCUGUGCCUUUUACUCAAUUUUGCUAUGAAACUAAAACUGCUCUAAAAAAUAAAGUCUUAAAAAAAUUAGCUAUACUUUGACAACUGAAGUAUUUGUUAAAUUUCUUAAUCCUGUAUUUUCCCAGGAGUAAUUUCCUUUAAAAUAUGUUUUGAAUUACUUUUGAAAGCUUUUAUCUCUUUUUCAGUCGAUUAGGAGAUGUCAGUGGAUUCUUUAUUUUAAAAUUUUGAAAUCAAUAAUCCUUGGAUUUACAUAUUUUUAAUGUAAAAAUGGAAUGAAGUAUAAUAUCAUAGGAAAAUGUUCACAGAUUAUAUACAUACAGCUUGAUGCAUAAACACAAAUUGAAUACAACUUUUAAACCAGCAAUCAAAUUGACUUUACAGAAAUGGGAUCAUUCAGUAAGAGUUAUUUUGUGUUUAUUUUCUUUCAUUCAAGAUAAUGUUUCUGUCAUUCGUCUUUGUUGUUGGUGUACAGUUGUAAUGUUUACAAUUUCCCAACUAAAUAGUAUUAUAUUGAAUAAAUAUACCACUAUAUC
rnacentral:lncRNA from 10 species